rnacentral:rRNA from 1 species
AUUGAACGCUGGCGGCAUGCUUUACACAUGCAAAUCGAACGGCAGCGCGGGCUUCGGCCUGGCGGCGAGUGGCGAACGGGUGAGUAAUGCAUCGGAACGUGCCCAGUAGUGGGGGAUAGCCCGGCGAAAGCCGGAUUAAUACCGCAUACGACCUGAGGGUGAAAGCGGGGGACCGAAAGGCCUCGCGCUAUUGGAGCGGCCGAUGUCGGAUUAGCUAGUUGGUGGGGUAAAGGCUUACCAAGGCGACGAUCCGUAGUUGGUCUGAGAGGACGACCAGCCACACUGGGACUGAGACACGGCCCAGACUCCUACGGGAGGCAGCAGUGGGGAAUUUUGGACAAUGGGGGCAACCCUGAUCCAGCCAUGCCGCGUGCGGGAAGAAGGCCUUCGGGUUGUAAACCGCUUUUGUUCGGGAAGAAAUCCUCUGGGCUAAUACCCCGGGGGGAUGACGGUACCGGAAGAAUAAGCACCGGCUAACUACGUG